GAUGAAGAACGCAGCGAAAUGCGAUAAGUAGUGUGAAUUGCAGAAUUCAGUGAAUCAUCGAAUCUUUGAACGCACAUUGCGCCCCAUGGUAUUCCGUGGGGCAUGCCUGUUCGAGCGUCAUUUACCCCCUCAAGCUCCGCUUGGUGUUGGGCGUCUGUCCCGCUUCGCGCGCGGACUCGCCCCAAAGGUAUUGGCAGCGGUCGUGCCAGCUUCUCGCGCAGCACAUUGCGCUUCUCGAGGCACCGGUGGGCCCGCGUCCAUCAAGCUCACCCCCCCAGUUUAACCUCGGAUCAGGUAGGGAUACCCGCUGAACUUAAGCAUAUCAAUAAGCGGAGGA
rnacentral:misc_RNA from 1 species